rnacentral:rRNA from 1 species
ACCCGCUGAACUUAAGCAUAUCAAUAAGCGGAGGAAAAGAAAGUAACCAUGAUUCCCCCAGUAACGGCGAGUGAAGAGGGAAGAGCCCAAAUUUGUAAUCUGGCGGCUCCGGCCGUCCGAGUUGUAAUCUGGAGAGGCCACGUCCGCGCUGGACCGCGUGUAAGUCUGCUAAUACGCAGCGUCAUAGAGGGUGUUAACCCCGUCUGUCACGCGGACUGCCAGUGCAUUGCGACGGGUCUUCGAAGAGUCGAGUUGUUUGGGAAUGCAGCUCUAAACGGGUGGUAAAUUCCAUCUAAGGCUAAAUAUAGGCGAGAGACCGAUAGCGAACAAGUACCGUGAGGGAAAGAUGAAAAGCACUUUGGAAAGAGAGUGAAAGAGUACGUGAAAUUGCUGAAAGGGAAGCGAUUGAGGUCAGACGUGCGUGGCCGGCUUCAGCCAACCCUCGGGUUGGUGUAUUGUCGGCCAGGCAGGCCAGCGUCGGUUUCUGUGGCCGUAAAAGGGUCAAGGGAACGUAGCAGCUCCGGCUGUGUUAUAGCCCUGGACUGGAUGCGGACACGGGGACCGAGGAUUGCAGCGCGCCCUUGUGGCAGGGCUCUCGGGCCUAAUGCGCUUAGGACGCUGGCAUAAUGGCCUUAAACGACCCGUCUUGAAACACGG